CUCCUCUCUAAAAGGGGAAAGAGGGCCUUUGUCAAGGGCUCAGGGAGCUGAUUGACAGGGGAUUUAACUUGAUAACCCCUUGGGGGAAGGGGUUAUAAUCAGAUUUAAUGGUGAGAAGGUGUGGGGUUGAUGCGCCUAUCCCCCUCAGUCCCCCGAAUCACCAGGCUAGCCCAGAUAUACAGGGCCUUGAGGGAAAGCGAAUCAGGAGAUGGGCAAAGAUACAGAAGAGAAUCCAAUUCCCCGAUGUGGUUCUCCAAGCGUGUUUAAUCCAUGAGAUGAAGGGGGAAAGAGAGUGAACAGGAAGGGACAGGGCCUUAUCUAGACUUUGGACAGGGAGGGCUUUCUGGCUCUCCGCCAACCUGAUCGGGGCAGGAAGGAAGGGACCCUGCUUAUCUGAUCCCAAUCACAGGGGUCGCUGGAAAAGGGGAAAGCAUAGCCAGAGUGCACUGAAACAUCUCCCCCUUUUUUGUUUAACAAGGUUACAGGAAUUCACUGGGGUCAGUUUAACCCUGAGUAUGGGUUUCCUGCCACCUAUAGUUGGUGGCGUAGUCAGACCUCCUUACGUUUGCUAACUGUAUGUGGUUGACUUCUGAGGAAGAAGGUAUGAGAUCCUUGAUAGCUUUGAAAAAAGUGACACAGGAUCCCGAACGCCAAGGUUACGAGGAACAGCGUAACAAGAUGUAACAAAAUUGAUCUAACAACAGAACACCACCAUGUGAAUCCCCAGCCCUUGAACAGUUCUUUGAACCAAUCCUCGGAUUCUUGCUUCACUUGUCUGAUCAGGCUGUUCAUGCUUUGAAGGGCAGGAUGGAUGUUUGGAGCUUUUGCAGUCAGGUCGAUGCACCAAAGUCCUUCAAAUUCCUGGCAUUCAUGUCCAUGCAGUAACAAAAGGAAAUCUACAGCAGCACGGUUUUGAAGUGUGGCCUGUCUGGUAAUUUCCUCAUCUUCCAGGAGGGAGCUGAUGGAGGCAGACGUUAAGUUUGCCUGUUUGAUUACCCAGCUUUCUAGGUGGCCCAAUUCACCUAGAGCUUUGGCUGCUGCAACCCAUGGAAGGAACAGUGACACAGCAACUCUUUUUGACUUGGCCCAAUGAACAAUUUCUGAGUUACAAUUUGGGUCCAAAUUGUCUGCACUUCUCUUUUGAAUUUUGUUUGCCAGUUUGUUUUCUGAGUCCAUUUGGCAAUUAGAGUUUGGUUGGGUGUCAAUACGGACAGCCUCCCUAUGGUACAUGGCCCUCCUAAAAGCUGAGAUGGAAUUCCUGCCCACGCCCGAUCCCCACAAAUCAAGAACAAUCCCUUAGGGAGACCUUUGGGACUUGAGUGAGAUGGGUUGUCUGCCCUGAUAUGGCUUGGGUUGUGACACCCCCUUCUUGCAGUAAAAUCCUCACCAUGUUGUUUUAUAACAUGGUACUCGUUAGUGUUAGAAAUUUUUGGGAUAACAGAAAAAUGUAUGCAGUAAGCUGCAGGAGAAGAACCCAGUAGCUCUAACUGUUGGGGUUCCUGAGCCAUCCGGGGCAAACCUCGCAACCACUCCUCUAAGGAUUUCCAACUUUGUGUGGUCAGGAUGUGUGUGACUCUGGGAUUUUGUUGGACCUAUGUUUGUCCAAACCUGCUGGAAAUUCUCCAGUCUGCCAUAGAAUUCCUACCAGACAGGUGGACAUAGGGUCCUUUGCUGCUGUAGUGGACAAACCAAUGUUUUCCUGCUGAAGUGUCUGUGCCAGGGUCACCCAGACGUUUUGACACAGCUGAGCGAUGACCCACGCAGCUGCCUGACUGUUCAGCAUUAGCAAGAUGACAACUUGAAUGGGGUUCAUCACAGGGUUAAGUGGGAGGUAGGUUUUCUAUGAAACGGAAAAAAAGACAUUUUUAAAACAUGUUAAAAGUUUCUGUUUCUGCUGAAAAGAAUUCACACUUAGGAAAAUUCUCCUUUUUCCAUUCAACGGCAUCUACUUGCUUCUUAUCCCCUUCUCUCUGAUCUGGAUUCUUGGGGACAAAAAGUUUCACCCACUUCUGGGGAAUUCAUCGAGGGCCUGAGGGAGUAGCUACACACGCAUAGCCAUGACCCCAGGUCACGAGCUCAUAGGGACCCUUGGUUUCCCAAGUUUCUGGAUCCCUAAUCAAGACUGGUGGACACUGAGACAAUUUGAACUGAUUGCCACUGUUUAAGUGAUGUACAACUGGUGGACUCAUGUUUUCAAAUGAACAGUUCAGAAAAUUGAUUAUAACAUCACUUUACAGAGCUUCUCCCAUGGAGACAUCCAUGGAACUGAACUGCUCUGUCUUUUCAAUACCUGCUUGAGCGUCUGUUGUGCACACUCAACCACAGCUUGACCUGUGGGGGAGUGAGCGAUACCAGUCUAAUGUUUCACUCCCCACUGCUGGAGAAAUUCUAGAAACUCCUUGGAUGCAUAUGCUGGGCCAUUAUCUGUUUUAAUCGCUUAUGGAACCCCCAGUACUGAAAAUGCUUGCACUAGCUGCUGUUUGGCAUGCAUAGCCUUUUGUCCUAUAUGAGCAGAGGCAUACACUGCACCUGAGAAUGUGUCCAGGCUUACAUGCACCAUGAACGCAUUCAAGGCGACCAAAACUUUGAAUGUGUGUGAUGUCUGUCUGCCGCACCUCAUAGCUGCCAAGGCUUCAGGGGUUUACCUCCAUGCCCAUCGAUGGCAUGGCCUGGAGCUGGCAGUUUGGACAGUUGGCCACAAUGGCUCGCGCCUGACUCCGUGUUAGCUGGAACUGUCGGAUCAGACCUGGCACAUUCUGGUAGUAAUGUUGGUGUCUCAGCCUUACCUCUUAGAAGACAUCAGGGAGACGUGCUUUGUAAACUGGUGCAGCAAGGGAGUCUGCUCUGUGAUUCCCCUCUGCAAUCUCACCUGGCAAAUCAGUGUGUGACCUCACAUGCAUCACAAAGAAUGGAUGCUCUCGAUGAGAGAUUAAAUAAAUCAGCCUUGAGAGCAAUCUGAGGGAUGUUCAUUCACUAUUUCUUUGAGCACAGCCUGCUCCACCCUGGACACUACUCCCACCACAUAGGCAGAGUCUGUUACCAAGUUGAUUGGCUCCGAGAACCUCUCAAAGCUCUUACCAUUGCAGCCAGUUCAGCCACCUGGGGGGAUCCCUCCACAAACUCAACAUCAGCUUCCCAGUGCCGGGUCUGUGGAUUUCUCCAAGUCAUCACUAACUUGUGGGAAGCCCCAGAUGCAUCCAUGAACACUGUGAGAGCCUUGAGUGCCCUCCGGCUCCUUUUCUCUGGAGGAAUAAGGUGGAAUUCCUCGUUAAACAUCUUGUGAGAUGGCACGUGGACUGAUAAUUGUCCCCUGUAGCUGUCCAUAGAUAAUUGGAGACUGGUGCUGCUCUGGAGCAAAUGUUCAAACAUCCCUUUGGUCAGUCUCUCAGGAGAGUUCCUUCCCUCCUCAGAAAGCCUGACUGGGAGAUGAAUACAUGCAAAGUCACAACCUGCCAAUUCGCAUAAUCUCACCCUGGCCUUCCGAAUCAGUUUUGCUAUCAGCUCUUGUGGCUCAGUGAUGGUCUUGGAUCUUUGAUGGGAGAGAAAAACCCACUCUAUGAUCAAGAGUGGAUCCUUCUGCCCCUCAAUCCAUUGGAAAAUCAACCCAUGUAAAUGUGGCAGUUCUCCUAGAACAAUGAAUUGGAAAGGCACGUUUAGUUCACACCGAUGUGCCUACCUCUCUGACAAGGCCUUCUGUACCUUUUCGAUUG
ensembl:lncRNA